rnacentral:rRNA from 1 species
GUAGGGGGCGAGCGUUGUCCGGAAUUACUGGGUGUAAAGGGCGUGUAGGCGGGGAUGCAAGUUACCGGUAAAAACCCGUGGCUCAACCACGGGCUUGCCGAUAAAACUGCAUCUCUUGAGUGUAGGAGAGGGAAGUGGAAUUCCCGGAGUAGCGGUGAAAUGCGUAGAUACCGGGAGGAACACCAGUGGCGAAGGCGGCUUCCUGGCCUAUCACUGACGCUGAGGCGCGAAAGCUAGGGGAGCGAACGGGAUUAGAUACCCCGGUAGUCCUAGCCGUAAACGAUGGUCACUAGGUGUGGGUGGUGGUCAAGCCAUCCGUGCCGGAGCUAACGCAAUAAGUGACCCACCUGGGGAGUACGGCCGCAAGGUUG